rnacentral:rRNA from 1 species
AUACGGAAGGUCCGGGCGUUAUCCGGAUUUAUUGGGUUUAAAGGGAGCGCAGGCGGAGAUGCAAGCGUGACGUCAAAUUUCGGGGCUCAACCCCGUCUCGCGUCGCGAACUGCGUCCCUUGGUUGCGGGAAGGGGAGGCGGAACUCGUGGUGUAGCGGUGAAAUGCAUAGAUAUCACGAAGAACUCCGAUCGCGAAGGCAGCCUUCCGGCCCGUCAACGACGCUCAUGCUCGAAGGUGCGGGUAUCAAACAGGAUUAGAUACCCUGGUAGUCCGCACAGCAAACGAUGGACACCCGCGGUUUGGCCUGUAUGGCUGAGCCGCCAAGCGAAAGCGUUAAGUGUCCCACCUGGGGAGUACGCCGGCAACGGUGAAACUCAAAGGAAUUGACGGGG